UUUUUUUGUAAAUAUCCCUGAAAUUUAUUUGCCGUAUAAUUUUACAAUAGCAUAAAUCAUGUCAGUACUCGGAUUUAGUGACACAUUGAUCACACAUAAAUAUCAGGUAACUCCCUAUAUAUUGUAGUUCGUGUUUAUGCUUUUUCAAAGCCCUCCACCAUAUGUGGUGCAAGUCAAUAUAUCUUUAUUUAUACAAAUAAAUGCAAAAUUGAUGCCUUUGGGUGUUGAGGUAUGUCAGUUGAGAAACUUGUCAAACCAAUCGCUUGCUUCUUUCACCAUCAAGGGCGUCAUCUCAUGCCCAAUUCCUGGUUCAGAUAUGAACUGCAUUCAUAUAAAUUUGUUAGAGAAAGAAUUCCAAGUAGUGGGUUAUCAACUAAUACUAAUGAAAAAAAGGAUAACAAAGAAAUUCUAAAAAAGUGCCUUUAUAUAAAUAUGUUUGCCUAUACAGGUAUGUAUGUAUGUACAUAUGAGCUUCAAUACAGGCGGUUCAACUUAUAUUAUUAUGUAGGCUGCAAAAUCUUUUAUAUAUGGAAAAAGUUUAUAUAGGGUUGAAACCUUAAAAUGUAUAAUUAUAGAUGCACCUCAAAAAUCCAUCGAAAACGGUUGUUUAAUGUUGAAAAAAUCCUUUAAUUGAUCAUCUCGACAUCGAGAAUGCAGGAAUAUGAAAAAAAAAAAGAUUUUGAGUGGCAUAAAUAGUGCAUCUUGC
rnacentral:lncRNA from 1 species